CCCAGCUACAGGCAACUGCCUAGGUUGCUUUGUUAUCUAGGCAAGUGUCACACUGCUGGGAGAAACGCAGCCAAUAGCUGGCAGACAUU
ensembl:snoRNA SNORA74 Small nucleolar RNA SNORA74